GUGAAUUUUUCUGAGAGCUGAGGACCAAAUCAGCCCUUGUGCAUGAAGACAGAAAACUAUGUCAGAAGGCUCUCUUGACUAAGCAAGAAGCUUUUUAAUGGGCUGAAAUGGAAAUGCAACCGCACAAGAAGCAGAAACAAGCAUGGGCCAUCAAGGGCAGGGAGAAAUAUCUCCCCUGGUUGUGUGCAGUCAGCUCUAGUUUGAAUGUAUGAGAAUAUCUUUGAGUUGGUCUUCAUCAUCACCCAGAAUCACACUACUGGGAAUGGCAGCAGUAUCCUUUGGCACAGCGAAGUCACCUCCAGAAAUAGUGGCUCACAGCUCUCCUCAGGUUAUGCCAAUAUCAUAUGAGGCUGACUCAGCCAUACUGGAGGUGAAGAGGAUUCUGAUCCUGUUCUCUGCACGCUGAAUGUGGACGUGGAACGGGAGCCUCUACAGAGGAGCUGAUUUUGGUCACAUAUGCCCUUCUGAGAAUCAAGAAUAAUAAUGCUAAACUUGGUCUAGUUACACUGAACAUGUUUGGCGUGAUGGCAGUUUCAGCAGAGAGAGAAUGGGAGACAGGACUUGUGUGACUACAAUAUUGCCGUCUCACUACAUCAUGCUGAGCAGAAGCCAUGAAGGGGGAAAAAUGUCCUCUUGCCUCACUGAGGAAGAAUAGGGGUGAAGGAAUCAUGGACCGUGCGUAGCGCACUCUCUUUUCUGCCUCUGAGCCCACUUGCUUUUUUUUUCUUUUUUUUUUCUUUCACUAGAUGGUACUGACAACAGUCAACAUUUGUGGAAAGAAAAGUUUCCACAGCCCAUUCCAAGAUACCUCCUUGUUUCUUUGGGUGACUGCAUUUCCUCUGCUGUAACGAGCUGUCCAUGACUGCUGCAUCUUCAGGGCUAUGCACUGUUCCCUGCCAGGGAUGGCACCAUCAUGUAUUGCCCUGCUAGUAGGACAUAUCUGUGGAUUUUCAGUUUUAUGUUAUACACUUUGUGCUUAUGUGUUUCCCUCCUUGCUUCCCAAAAAACGAGACUUAAGGGUAACUAUAAUCUCUGUUUUAUGACGGUGCAGUGUGUUGCUAACCUCAUCAGGGGCAUGAGUCUGGUUUCUAUUCACAGAUGAAAAUUUCUUUAUUGCCUGUCUCAACUUAAUCAAUUUUUGUCCCAGUGAGUAAGUGAGCAGUAAAUGAGUAAUGAGAUGAGUGAAAAUAUGAAUGGAAAAAUAACAAGUACUAGUUUCUAUUGCCUUUAAUAAUAUUUGUAU